UCACAGCACAGCUUCUGAAAUCAGUCUGUUCACCACAAAUUCCCAAAGCAAAGCAGCCUACCUUUCAACAGCAACCUGUUCUGGUAAAGCCCUCAACCUUCCAACCAGCCUCUGACUUCCAGAGAGAAAAUCUGACCGAGGUGAACAAGGUUAGUCUGCAAGGAGAAAGCUCGAAAGGACACAUGGUGAGUCAGUAUAUCAGAUGGAAGCGGAACCAGUUGGCUCUACCUUGGACUAAAGUGACAAGAAGGAAAACAGGUAUCCGGACUCAUCCUCAAGAAUCUCUCACGGGACCCCUGGGGCUAAUGAAUAAGCAGCCAGCUGUGUCUAAGGACUCCACCCCAUCAUUAAGGAACUGCUGAUGUCAAGUGACACUUCAUCAUGGUGCUGUGUGUUUCUGGGCUGUGCUUGCUUGAGCUUUGUUUAUUUGAAAAUAAAACACAGGAUCUCUAUAAAUA